rnacentral:lncRNA from 1 species
AGUAAAAAGAACCUUAGUUGUCAACAAUUAAUUUUGCACCACCUUAGAGCAUCUCGUUUCUUGGGCAGUUGGUAGAUUUGAUUCCUGAACAUGUCAGAGUUGAGCAUGGGAUCAAAUAAAUAAAAUCCAACCAAACAACAGUGCAUGUAAGGUGUGAUGCACCAGCACCUCCACCUUGUCAAAUGCUUAGCUCUCAUUCACACACAGAUAUAUACUCCAACCUAUCACACUUCAGAACAUAGUUCUGAGACGUAGGCACAAUGUAUCAAAUUAUGUGUGAAGGCUGAAAUUGGUAAGAUGGCAUUCCUUGUGGUAUAAGCAAACCGAACAAAAAUAUGAACUUCCACGAAUACUUCCUCCUCUGGAAUAGGAAAGUGCUAGUUAGGAUAGCUUCAUCAUAAACUCGCUGCAUUACUCACUGGAUUUGAACACUGUUGUCAAGGAGAGCCUCCGCUGCUGAAUCAAGAUCAUGAGGGAAGAAAACCCUACAGGAAAUGUUACACUACAUAAGAAGCUUGAAUAGAUCAUUUUAUUCUCUUCAGACAGAAAGAAAAAGAACGAAAUAAAAAUGGUGUUGGCUUAUUAAUUAAGAGAGGAUCUCAUUAAAAAAAGGCACAUUUGAGAUAAGACAUAAUUAUUUCUUGUCAGAGAUACAAAUACUAGGGCAGCAUUAUAUAAUGGCGCAAAUUACCACAGAUUGACAUCCUUUUUCAAUUGGAAUGGCCAACAGCAUGUGUGAGUUCUAAAUCGUGAUCAUGUUAUGGUGAAGAUUUUAAAACAAUCUGAGCGUAUUUUGGUCAAAAUUGUGUAGGGUUCCCUCCCUAUUGAAUGGUGAUAAAGGUGAAUGCAGGGUGAGGCGGUACAGCGGCAACCUUCAUCUGUCGAAUUUUCUACUCAACGUAUGUUUCUCAAUAGCGUGGAAGACGUUUUGAUCAAAAACACAGCCAAGUUCUCUCUCAGUAGAUAGGCUAUGAUACAAAAGGACCUGAGAAAAAUAGGCCUAAUCCCAAUCACUCAAAUAUUUUCUUCAAAAAAACAGGUUGGAUGCACAUGAACGAACCAAUUGUGGUGAAGGUGAUAACCCUGGCUAUAAUUUAAUUGUUUAGGUUUGACCCAUCAAGAAAUUAACACAGCAGCGCAGAGAUUACAUGAUAUCUAAUAUUCUGGUAGCUCACUGAAUUUGAUCGUACCAAUUUCCUUCUUGUAGUAACCUCCUAAUGCUGCCGCACGUUGUGACUAAUUCUGCUACUUAAUGUUCCAAUAAGGACUUUUUAUAGCAUCUAGACAAAAAAAAGCUUUCUAUGGAACGCACAAAUGUUGUCCAAUUAUGAAAAUAACCUAGAGCAGCGUUAUUAAUGUUGAUGGAAGCAAUUUUGUCAUCGGUUAGCAUGCCUUCUAUCAAAUGAUCGAAUAAGUGAUAAUGACAGUAAUAAUCGGAAAACAAAACAGCAUCUUCCACAAGAUGAUCAUCUUUUAGUAUGUCUAAACACUACGAUAACAAUAAUGAUAAGAGAAGAUUUCAGCACUCAAAUCUCAUAUUUAAUUUGCCCUUUUCAAUAUCAGAUAUAUAAUUAUUACUCAUACAUGAUAGACAAGAAAACGGAACAAAGAAGAAUGGCCACAGAAUAUUUUUUUGGUUCAGCAGGCAAUCUUGAUGCUAACCUCCCAUUUCAAUUGCUCUAUACCCAUUGAAAACAUACAAGGACUUAUGUCAAUCCUGUCUUUGUGCUCCUAAAUUUCAGAUAGAAAUUUCUGUUAUUUCUCUAUCUUCAACUUCCCCCCGCGAUACAUGUUACGAAAACCUUCUAGCAAAUGUGAUAUGCAGUCAAUUUUGGAAUAAACUAAUAAAGUCUGAGAAUUUAGCAAUGGACUACAUUACAAAGAAUAUUCCACAGUACACUUUUUGUCCCAUAUUCUAAAUGAGAUCCUCAACAGUCUCCUUCAACCCAUAAAACAUACAUUUGGUUCAAAUACUGGCUUUCACAACUUGAACACUUGGUAACCAAUUUCAUGUGUACGUUUUCAUUUUUAAGAAGUUUAUUAUUACAAACCAUUCUCUACUGCCAAUUCUCCAUCUUUUUCCCGAGGGGUGCAAGUUCCCCCUUAUAAGCCAGAGUACAACGACACAUAAAGAACCAAAAAUAAAACAAAAUCUAGAAAAACUACCAACUUUCCCUAGUUAUCCAAUAAUACGCUAAAUAACUAAAAAGAGGAAAGCAACACAUAUUAUUUCUCCGCUUACUCUUACUCAAGGGAGAAUGGCUGGUAUCUUGAUUAGUCUCCAAUCCUUCAGCCCAUUGGUGGAGACAUACAAUAGCUUCACUGACCAUCGCCUGCAGGGCUUGAACUCUUGUUUCAAUGUUCUACAGCUCUGCUCGCACCUAACUCU